AACGAACGCUGGCGGCAGGCUUAACACAUGCAAGUCGAGCGCCCCGCAAGGGGAGCGGCAGACGGGUGAGUAACGCGUGGGAAUCUACCCAUCCCUACGGAAUAGCUCCGGGAAACUGGAAUUAAUACCGUAUACGCCCUACGGGGAAAGAUUUAUCGGGGAUGGAUGAGCCCGCGUUGGAUUAGCUAGUUGGUGGGGUAAAGGCCUACCAAGGCGACGAUCCAUAGCUGGUCUGAGGGGAUGAUCAGCCACAUUGGGACUGAGACACGGCCCAAACUCUUACGGGAGGCAGCAGUGGGGAAUAUUGGACAAUGGGGGCAACCCUGAUCCAGCCAUGCCGCGUGAGUGAUGAAGGCCUUAGGGUUGUAAAGCUCUUUCACCGGGGAAGAUAAUGACGGUACCCGGAGAAGAAGCCCCGGCUAACUUCGUGCCAGCCGCCGCGGUAA
rnacentral:rRNA from 1 species